AUUUUGUGAUUGCAUUAUUAUUUGAUAGCGUGUUGGCUGUUUUCAACAUUAUUUUUAAAUAGGACUUCUACCUGGCUGUCGACGUAUUCAAAAUCUCUUAAAACCUAAGAUGCCUUGUCAUCAUCUAUAAAUGUCUAACGUGGUCAACUUUCACCUGCAGGUAUAAUAUAAGAGUGCGGUAAGUUCAGUUCGUUGCCAGACAGCGUUCCGAACGAAAGUCUCUUAGUAAACUCGCAGCCACUAUGUAAAUAGUUUGAAAGUAAAUGAUCAAUAACGAGAGACUUGGAAGAUGAAUUUUUAUUAUUCGCUGCGCAGUCCUACCAGACGGAGCGCAACAGUUAAUGUUGCUGGCCCUGCUGGCCUCAUCGUUCGUCCAAGUUUUAUUAUUUUCACGAUUCUGUAGCGAUUAGUCGCUACUCGUUUUAUUGGCUCGAUGAACAGAUGAUGUGUGAUAUUGAACGUCCAGUAACAUCCAGUCUAGAAGCUCCAGCAGCGAUUUCGGCAGAAACCAAAUUUUAACAACGUCAUGGCGGAUCGGUGAUUUCAACGUACAGCACUAAAUUUCCCAUAAUUAAACAAGCGCAAUGAUUCAACACAACAAAUGCACAAUGCCUUCCUUUUUUCUCCCCCCAGAAGAAUCACCCUGCUGUUUGAAACGUUGCUGAUAGCCGUCUUAUUAUUCAGACUAGCAUUUAAUUCAUGUUCAGGUUUUUAGUUCUAGUAAAUUUUGGGUUAAUAUCGCGGGUGACUGGUUUACAUUUCCUGUUUUUAAACUCGGUUUCAAUUUUUAACUAGUGAUUCAGAAUUGGUGAUUGGUAUUCAUUUGGUUUUGAGAAAGAGCUUGAAUAAUACUGUAAUUAAAAAUAGACAGCAUAAUAUUAAAGGCAUCUCUAUAGCACAUAAAACGUACACACGGGUCACGCAAUUUUGGGUUAUUUUUGAUCGCCUCUCCCCCCAGUCGUUACAGGACGUCACAAAAAGUAUCCCUCCCCUAAACUGACAAAAUAUUUUUCCGGCCUACCCCCCAAUAUUCAAAUUACCAUU